rnacentral:rRNA from 1 species
GAUGAACGCUGGCGGCGUGCCUAAUACAUGCAAGUCGAGCGAACAGACGAGGAGCUUGCUCCUCUGACGUUAGCGGCGGACGGGUGAGUAACACGUGGAUAACCUACCUAUAAGACUGGGAUAACUUCGGGAAACCGGAGCUAAUACCGGAUAAUAUAUUGAACCGCAUGGUUCAAUAGUGAAAGACGGUUUUGCUGUCACUUAUAGAUGGAUCCGCGCCGCGUUAGCUAGUUGGUAAGGUAACGGCUUACCAAGGCAACGAUGCGUAGCCGACCUGAGAGGGUGAUCGGCCACACUGGAACUGAGACACGGUCCAGACUCCUACGGGAGGCAGCAGUAGGGAAUCUUCCGCAAAGGGCGAAAGCCUGACGGAGCAACGCCGCGUGAGUGAUGAAGGUCUUCGGAUCGUAAAACUCUGUUAUUAGGGAAGAACAAAUGUGUAAGUAACUAUGCACGUCUUGACGGUACCUAAUCAGAAAGCCACGGCUAACUACGUG